rnacentral:rRNA from 1 species
CCACCCCCGCCCCGGUGAGAGUUUGAUCCUGGCUCAGAUUGAACGCUGCCGGCAGGCCUAACACAUGCAAGUCGAGCAGAACAGAGGAGCUUGCUCCUUGGGGCGAGUGGCGGACGGGUGAGGAAUACAUCGGAAUCUACUCUGUCGUGGGGGAUAACGUAGGGAAACUUACGCUAAUACCGCAUACGACCUACGGGUGAAAGCAGGGGAUCUUCGGACCUUGCGCGAUUGGAUGAGCCGAUGUCGGAUUAGCUAGUUGGCGGGGUAAAGGCCCACCAAGGCGACGAUCCGUAGCUGGUCUGAGAGGAUGAUCAGCCACACUGGAACUGAGACACGGUCCAGACUCCUACGGGAGGCAGCAGUGGGGAAUAUUGGACAAUGGGCGMAAGCCUGAUCCAGCCAUACCGCGUGUGUGAAGAAGGYCUUCGGRUUGUAAAGCACUUUAAGUUGGGAGGAAGGSCAGUAAGUUAAUACCUKGCUGUUAUGACGUUACCGACAGAAUAAGCACCGGCUAACUCUGUGCCAGCAGCCGCGGUAAUACAGAGGGUGCAAGCGUUAAUCGGAAUUACUGGGCGUAAAGCGCGCGUAGGUGGUUCGUUAAGUUGGAUGUGAAAGCCCCGGGCUCAACCUGGGAACUGCAUCCAAUACUGGGCGAGCUAGAGUGCGGUAGAGGGUAGCGGAUU